GAAACUGCCGGUUCCCGUACCAUCACCGAAGUUAAGCGACGUCGAACCAGGUCAGUACCUAGAUGGGUGACCUCUUAUGAAUACUGGGAAG